rnacentral:rRNA from 1 species
GACGAACGCUGGCGGCGUGCCUAAUACAUGCAAGUCGAGCGAAGUUUUUCUGGUGCUUGCACCGGAAAAACUUAGCGGCGCACGGGUGAGUAACACGUAAAGAACCUGCCUCAUAGACUGGGACAACUAUUGGAAACGAUAGCUAAUACCGGAUAACAGCAUUAACUGCAUGGUUGAUGUUUAAAAGUUGGUUUUGCUAACACUAUGCGAUGGCUUUGCGGUGCAUUAGCUAGUUGGUGGGGUAAAGGCCUACCAAGGCGACGAUGCAUAGCCGACCUGAGAGGGUGAUCGGCCACACUGGGACUGAGACACGGCCCAGACUCCUACGGGAGGCAGCAGUAGGGAAUCUUCCGCAAUGGGCGAAAGCCUGACGGAGCAACGCCGCGUGAGUGAAGAAGGAUUUCGGUUCGUAAAGCUCUGCUGUUAGGGAAGAAUGAUUGUGUAGUAACUAUACACAGUAGAGACGGUACCUAACCAGAAAGCCACGGCUAACUACGUG